rnacentral:SRP_RNA from 1 species
CCACGCAGCCGGGGAGAUAGCGGUGCCCUGUAUCUGCAAUCCGCUCCAGCAGAGGUGAUGCCUUGCCCCGGACCGACCAUUGCAAAGCUGCCUUGUGUAAGUGGCGUUGACGUUUGGGUCUUACGCAACGGAAACCUGUGAACCGUGUCAGGGCAGGAAUGCAGCAGCACUAAGCAGGACCUUUCGUGUGCCGUAAGGCAGCCUGGACUGAGUUAACUGCAUGAGUAACGUUUGUGAUGCCGGUACAAAGCAAGGCGCGUGG